GACGAACGCUGGCGGCGCGCCUAACACAUGCAAGUCGAGCGAUGAAAUUUUAACCGAUCUCUUCGGAGAGAAGAUAAAAUGGAUUAGCGGCGGACGGGUGAGUAACACGUGAGAAACCUGCCUUUCACAAGGGGAUAGCCUCGGGAAACCGGGAUUAAUACCCUAUGACACAUUUCCUUCGCAUGGAAGAAAUGUUAAAACUCCGGUGGUGAAAGAUGGUCUCGCGCCUGAUUAGCUAGUUGGUGGGGUAACGGCCCACCAAGGACAUGAUCAGUAACCGGCCUGAGAGGGUGAACGGUCACAUUGGAACUGAGACACGGUCCAAACUCAUACGGGAAGCAGAAGGGGGGAAUAUUGCACAAUGGAGGAAACUCUGAUGCAGCGACGCCGCGUGAGCGAUGAAGGAUUUCGAGUCGUAAAGCUCUGUCCUAUGGGAAGAUAAUGACGGUACCAUAGGAGGAAGCCCCGGCUAACUACGUG
rnacentral:rRNA from 1 species